rnacentral:rRNA from 1 species
AACGAACGCUGGCGGCAGGCUUAACACAUGCAAGUCGAACGCUCGUAGCAAUACGGGAGUGGCGGACGGGUGAGUAACGCGUGGGAACGUGCCCUGAGGUACGGAAUAACUGCGGGAAACUGCAGCUAAUACCGUAUGAGCCCCGCAAGGGGGAAAGAUUUAUCGCCUUGGGAGCGGCCCGCGUCGGAUUAGCUAGUUGGUGGGGUAACGCCUACCAAGGCUUCGAUCCGUAGCUGGUCUGAGAGGACGAUCAGCCACACUGGGACUGAGACACGGCCCAGACUCCUACGGGAGGCAGCAGUGGGGAAUCUUGCGCAAUGGGGGCAACCCUGACGCAGCCAUGCCGCGUGAAUGAUGAAGGCCUUAGGGUUGUAAAGUUCUUUGCCCGUGACGAUGAUGACGGUAACGGAGAAUAAGCUCGGCUAACUUCGUGCCAGCAGCCGCGGUAAU